rnacentral:rRNA from 1 species
GACGAACGCUGGCGGCGUGCCUAACACAUGCAAGUCGAGCGGAGGCGCCUGAAGAGCAAUCGGAGGGUGUCUGAGCGGCGGACGGGUGAGUAACGCGUGAGCGAUCUGCCUUUCACAGGGGGAUAACGCAGCGAAAGCUGCACUAAUACCGCAUGAGACCACGGUACUGAUGGUACAGGGGUCAAAGGAGAGAUCCGGUGAGAGAUGAGCUCGCGUCCGAUUAGGUAGUUGGUGAGGUAACGGCCCACCAAGCCAAUGAUCGGUAGCCGGCCUGAGAGGGUGAACGGCCACAUUGGAACUGAGAGACGGUCCGAACUCCUACGGGAGGCAGCAGUGGGGAAUAUUGGGCAAUGGGGGAAACCCUGACCCAGCAACGCCGCGUGAGGGAAGAAGGUUUUCGGAUUGUAAACCUCUGUUCUUGGAGAAGAGGAGAAGACGGUAUCCAAGGAGGAUGCCCCGGCUAACUACGUGCCAGCCGCCGCGGUAA